rnacentral:rRNA from 1 species
AACGAACGCUGGCGGCAUGCCUAACACAUGCAAGUCGAACGAAGCCUUCGGGCUUAGUGGCGCACGGGUGCGUAACGCGUGGGAAUCUGCCCCUUGCUUCGGAAUAACAGUUAGAAAUGACUGCUAAUACCGGAUGAAGUCUUCGGACCAAAGAUUUAUCGGCAAGGGAUGAGCCCGCGUAGGAUUAGGUAGUUGGUGGGGUAAAGGCCUACCAAGCCGACGAUCCUUAGCUGGUCUGAGAGGAUGAUCAGCCACACUGAGAGUGAGACACGGCCCAGACUCCUACGGGAGGGAGCAGUGGGGAAUAGUGGACAAUGGACGCAAGUCUGAUCCAGCUAUGCCGGGUGAGUGAUGAAGGCAUUAGGGUUGUAAAGCUCUUUUACCAGGGAUGAUAAUGACAGUACCUGGAGAAUAAGCCCCGGCUAACUCCGUG